UACGAAGGGGGCUAGCGUUGCUCGGAAUCACUGGGCGUAAAGCGCACGUAGGCGGAUCUUUAAGUCAGGGGUGAAAUCCUGGAGCUCAACUCCAGAACUGCCUUUGAUACUGGGGAUCUCGAGUCCGGAAGAGGUGAGUGGAACUCCGAGUGUAGAGGUGAAAUUCGUAGAUAUUCGGAAGAACACCAGUGGCGAAGGCGGCUCACUGGACCGGUACUGACGCUGAUGCGCGAAAGCGUGGGGAGCAAACGGG
rnacentral:rRNA from 1 species